UACGUAGGGGGCAAGCGUUGUCCGGAUUUAUUGGGCGUAAAGAGCGUGUAGGCGGCUGGGUAGGUCCGUUGUGAAAACUCGAGGCUCAACCUCGAGACGCCGAUGGAAACCAUCCAGCUAGAGUCCGGAAGAGGAGAGUGGAAUUCCUGGUGUAGCGGUGAAAUGCGCAGAUAUCAGGAAGAACACCCGUGGCUAAGGCGGCUCUCUAGUACGUGACUGACGCUGAGACGCGAAAGCGUGGGGAGCGAACAGG
rnacentral:rRNA from 1 species